rnacentral:rRNA from 1 species
AGCAGGCGCGUAAAUUGCCCGAAUCCUGACACGGGGAGGUAGUGACAAGAAAUAACAAUACAGGGCUACAUCUAGUCUUGUAAUUGGAAUGAGUACAAUUUACAUCUCUUAACGAGGAUCAAUUGGAGGGCAAGUCUGGUGCCAGCAGCUGCGGUAAUUCCAGCUCCAAUAGCGUGUAUUAAAGUUGUUGCAGUUAGAACGCUCGUAGUCGGAUUUCGGGGCGGGCCGACCGGUCUGCCGAUGGGUAUGCACUGGUCGGCGCGCCYUUCCUUCCCGGAGACCGUGCCUACUCUUAACUGAGCGGGGGCGGGAGACGGAAUUUUUACUUUGAAAAAAUCAGAGUGUUUCAAGCAGGCAGCUCGCUCUUGCACGGAUUAGCAUGGGAUAAUGAAAUAGGACUUUGGUGCUAUUUUGUUGGUUUCGAACACCGAAGUAAUGAUGAGAAGGGACAGUCAGGGGCACUCGUAUUCCGCAGAGAGAGGUGAAAUUCUCAGACCCGCGGAAGACGAACCACUGCGAAAACAUUUGCCAGGAAUGUUUUCACUGAUCAAGAACGAAAGUUAGGGGAUCGAAGAUGAUCAGAUACCGUCGUAGUCUUAACCAUAAACCAUGCCGACUAGGGAUUGGAGGAUGUUCACUGAUCGACUCCUUCAGCACCUUACGGGAAACUAAAGUCUUUGGGUUCCGGGGGGAGUAUGGUCGCAAGGCUGAAACUUAAAGGAAUUGACGGUAGGGCACCACCAGGUGUGGAGCCUGCGGCUUAAUUUGACUCAACACGGGGAAACUUACCAGGUCCAGACAUUGUAAGGAUUGACAGAUUGAGAGCUCUUUCUUGAUUCGAUGGGUGGUGGUGCAUGGCCGUUCUUAGUUGGUGGAGUGAUUUGUCUGGUUAAUUCCGUUAACGAACGAGACCUUAGCCUGCUAAAUAGUUACGCGAACUCUCUGUUCGCGGCCAACUUCUUAGAGGGACAACUUGUUUGCAACAAGUGGAAGUUUGAGGCAAUAACAGGUCUGUGAUGCCCUUAGAUGUUCUGGGCCGCACGUGCGCUACACUGAUGCACUCAACGAGUUUAUCACCUUGACCGAGAGGUCCGGGAAACCUUCGAACUUGCAUCGUGAUGGGGAUAGAUUAUUGCAACUAUUAAUCUUCAACGAGGAAUACCUAGUAAGCGCAUGUCAUCAGCGUACGUUGA